rnacentral:sRNA from 1 species
CCGUUUCAAUUUGCUGGGGACAAAUAAAAUGAAUGUGCGCGUCGAUUCCGCCCGCAGUCACAAUUUUACCUUCACCUGCAAUGACUUCCGUGCUCGCGCCCACAAUCAUAUUGGGAUGCACACCAUCCAUAAUGUCUGGGUUCCCCGCUUUACCGAUCCCUACGAUAUGACCAUCCUUAAUGCCGAUGUCACCUUUGACAAUACCCCAGUGGUCGAUAAUGACCGCAUUCGUAAUCAGGGUAUCGAGAACACCUUGGUCACGGGUAGCUCCACUGGACUGCCCCAUCCCGUCACGA